rnacentral:rRNA from 1 species
GGACUACAAGGGUAUCUAAUCCCGUUCGCUCCCCUGGCUUUCGCCCCUCAGCGUCAGGUGCUUCCCAGGACCCUGCCUUCGCCUUUGGUAUUCCUCCGGAUAUCUACGCAUUUCACCACUCCACCCGGAAUUCUAGGUCCCUCUGAAGUCCUCGAGUCCGACCGUCUUGCCGAACCUCUCGCCGUUAAGCAGCGAGCUGGCACCGGCAACGCGCCGAACCGCCUGCGGGCGCUUUACGCCCAGUAACUCCGGACAACGCUUGCCCCCUACGUAUUACCGCGGCUGCUGGCAC